rnacentral:rRNA from 1 species
GAUGAACGCUGGCGGCGUGCCUAAUACAUGCAAGUCGAGCGAACAGACGAGGAGCUUGCUCCUCUGACGUUAGCGGCGGACGGGUGAGUAACACGUGGAUAACCUACCUAUAAGACUGGGAUAACUUCGGGAAACCGGAGCUAAUACCGGAUAAUAUAUUGAACCGCAUGGUUCAAUAGUGAAAGACGGUUUUGCUGUCACUUAUAGAUGGAUCCGCGCCGCAUUAGCUAGUUGGUAAGGUAACGGCUUACCAAGGCGACGAUGCGUAGCCGACCUGAGAGGGUGAGCGGCCACACUGGAACUGCGACACGGUCCAGACUCCUACGGGAGGCAGCAGUAGGGAAUCUUCCGCAAUGGGCGAAAGCCUGACGGAGCAACGCCGCGUGAGUGAUGAAGGUCUUCGGAUCGUAAAACUCUGUUAUUGGGGAAGAACAAAUGUGUAAGUAACUAUGCACGUCUUGACGGUACCUAAUCAGAAAGCCACGGCUAACUACGUG